AGAGUUUGAUCCUGGCUCAGAUUGAACGCUGGCGGCAUGCCUUACACAUGCAAGUCGAACGGCAGCGCGGGGCAACCUGGCGGGGAGUGGCGAACGGGUGAGUAAUAUAUCGGAACGUACCCUGGAGUGGGGGAUAACGUAGCGAAAGUUACGCUAAUACCGCAUACGAUCUAAGGAUGAAAGUGGGGGAUCGCAAGACCUCAUGCUCCUGGAGCGGCCGAUAUCUGAUUAGCUAGUUGGCGGGGUAAAAGCCCACCAAGGCAACGAUCAGUAGCUGGUCUGAGAGGACGACCAGCCACACUGGAACUGAGACACGGUCCAGACUCCUACGGGAGGCAGCAGUGGGGAAUUUUGGACAAUGGGCGCAAGCCUGAUCCAGCAAUGCCGCGUGAGUGAAGAAGGCCUUCGGG
rnacentral:rRNA from 1 species